rnacentral:rRNA from 1 species
GGGCGAAGCCGUGAUGCAGCGCACGCCGCGGUGAGGGAUGACGGCCUUCGGGUUGUAAACCUCUUUCAGCAGGGAAGAAGCGAAAGUGACGGUACCUGCAGAAGAAGCGCCGGCUAACUACGUGCCAGCAGCCGCGGUAAUACGUAGGGCGCGAGCGUUGUCCGGAAUUAUUGGGCGUAAAGAGCUCGUAGGCGGCUUGUCACGUCGGUUGUGAAAGCCCGGGGCUUAACCCCGGGUCUGCAGUCGAUACGGGCAGGCUAGAGUUCGGUAGGGGAGAUCGGAAUUCCUGGUGUAGCGGUGAAAUGCGCAGAUAUCAGGAGGAACACCGGUGGCGAAGGCGGAUCUCUGGGCCGAUACUGACGCUGAGGAGCGAAAGCGUGGGGAGCGAACAGGAUUAGAUACCCUGGUAGUCCACGCCGUAAACGGUGGGCACUAGGUGUGGGCGACAUUCCACGUCGUCCGUGCCGCAGCUAACGCAUUAAGUGCCCCGCCUGGGGAGUACGGCCGCAAGGCUAAAACUCAAAGGAAUUGA